AUUUCCCCAAACCUGUUCUGAUGAACUAAUCUACAUUUUUAGGUAAAAUAUUCAUUUUAAUGCAUGUUUCGACAAACUUGAAUUUUAAACUAAUCAUUGCCACAAAUGUAAAAGAAUAAUGUUUAUUUGAAUCAAAACCUUUUCCUAACAUUUUUUCCAAGCCAAAAGUAUUAUCACUACAAAGCAGGUAGUCAACAUCAGUGUUUUUUGUUUACAAUCUGAUGGCAGUUAUGAGAUGAAUCUUUAUUGGGUGAGCUUUGGUAAAUGUGAGCUGAGCUCACUUCCUUCCUUUCUGAUACUUUGCAUGACUGCAAAACAGCAACAGUAGGCCUGUCAUUUGCUGGCAGGCUUUCCUUAUCUGAGCGCUGGAGUCUGGCAAUCUGAUUGGUGAAGAGCUUGCACCUUCUGUGCUGGAUUUACUUGAAGCUUUUGGUUUGUUAUAUUAUAGCCUGUCCUGUCAUCUGACUCUUGUACUUGAACAUUAAAAUUAUGCCGGUGCUUCUUUGAAACUAAACAGUUUCUUCACUUUUUGUGCUCGUGUUGCAGUUCUACCAAUGACACAAAUGUUACUAUUUAUGUAUUCUUUCUCAAAGUUUAGCACACAUACAUUUCAAAUUUGAAUGUACUUGAUAUUAAUGUAAAUGACAUGAAAAUGUAAUAUGAAAAUGAUUCAAAUUUAAUACAUUAUUAUUAAUUUUAAUUUUGUUUAUUAUUAUUAAGAGCCUCUCACAUGGUCUAGGAGCCCCUCCUACACAGCAAGAACCAACCAGAUCUUCUUGUGUCAAAGCCUAGGUGGCACUGAUGUGCAGUCAAGACCUUUAAAGCUGCAGAUCUCACAGAUGAAUUCUCACAUUCUGGCUUUACAGGAAGAGUCUCCAAGUUAUGAACAGGAAUUCCACUAUAUCAUUACCAGCUAUUUGUGUCAUGCACUAAAUUUAUCUUCGAUUACCUCAUCAGUGCUAUUAUAAUAGGACGGUUCUCUGCUCAUGAUUGGGGGUCCCACCUGACCCUGUAUGAGUGCAAAGGCCUGAGAAUUGGAUUACAGCUUAUCCAUAUCAACAGCUGUAGCUUUCUAACAAAGCCUGUGGGCCUCUGGGCAUAUUUCAAGCAAGCCAGAAUUCACCAAGGACACUCCUGACUGGAAAAGUGGAAUUGUAGAGGAAUAUCCGGUGCCAUAAUCCUCUUUCCUCUCCUCAACACAUUACCUGACGCACCAGCAUGUCGACCGGCUAACACUACACACGGAAGCAUAAGAGGAGUUAAGACAUGUCAACACACAAGAGGUCCUCAGGGACUGAGCCUUUGUGUGGACGCAACUGUCACGAUGAAAGAUUCUCUCCCAAGAUUUAAACAUCACAGCAACCUAUGAAGGCAGAAUUAAAUUGAUCGGGUCAGAUGCCACCC